rnacentral:rRNA from 1 species
UACGAAGGGUGCAAACGUUGCUCGGAAUUAUUGGGCGUAAAGAGCUCGUAGGCGGUUUGUCGCGUCUGCCGUGAAAGUCCGGGGCUCAACUCCGGAUCUGCGGUGGGUACGGGCAGACUAGAGUGAUGUAGGGGAGACUGGAAUUCCUGGUGUAGCGGUGAAAUGCGCAGAUAUCAGGAGGAACACCGAUGGCGAAGGCAGGUCUCUGGGCAUUAACUGACGCUGAGGAGCGAAAGCGUGGGGAGCGAACAGG